rnacentral:rRNA from 1 species
UGACCUCAACUCGGUCGUGAUUACCCGCUGAAUUUAAGCAUAUAACUAAGCGGAGGAAAAGAAACUAA